rnacentral:rRNA from 1 species
UACGGAGGGGGCAAGCGUUGUUCGGAUUUACUGGGCGUAAAGGGCGCGUAGGCGGUCGUGACAAGUCACUUGUGAAAUCUCCGGGCUUAACUCGGAACGGUCAAGUGAUACUGUCGGACUAGAGUACAGAAGGGGCAACUGGAAUUCUCGGUGUAGCGGUGAAAUGCGUAGAUAUCGAGAGGAACACCUGCGGCGAAGGCGGGUUGCUGGGCUGAUACUGACGCUGAGGCGCGAAAGCCAGGGGAGCGAACGGG